CCUACGGGUGGCAGCAGUCGAGAAUCAUUCACAAUGGGGGAAACCCUGAUGGUGCGACGCCGCGUGGGGGAAUGAAGGUCUUCGGAUUGUAAACCCCUGUCAUGUGGGAGCAAAUUAAAAAGAUAGUACCACAAGAGGAAGAGACGGCUAACUCUGUUCCAGCAGCCGCGGUAAUACAGAGGUCUCAAGCGUUGUUCGGAAUCACUGGGCGUAAGGCGUGCGUAGGCUGUUUCGUAAGUCGUGUGUGAAAGGCGCGGGCUCAACCCGCGGACGGCACAUGAUACUGCGAGACUAGAGUAAUGGAGGGGGAACCGGAAUUCUCGGUGUAGCAGUGAAAUGCGUAGAUAUCGAGAGGAACACUCGUGGCGAAGGCGGGUUCCUGGACAUUAACUGACGCUGAGGCACGAAGGCCAGGGGAGCGAAAGGGAUUAGAUACCCGUGUAGUC
rnacentral:rRNA from 1 species